UGCCAGUCGCCGCGGUAACACGGGGGGCGCAAGCGUUAUUCGGAAUUAUUGGGCGUAAAGGGCGCGCAGGCGGUCUUGUCCGUCAGGUGUGAAAUCCCGGGGCUCAACCCCGGAACUGCCUUUGAUACUAUCUUUCUUGAGUCUGUGAGAGGAUGGCGGAAUACCCAGUGUAGAGGUGAAAUUCGUAGAUAUUGGGUAGAACACCGGUGGCGAAGGCGGCCAUCUGGCACAGUACUGACGCUGAGGCGCGAAAGCGUGGGGAGCGAACAGGAUUAGAUA
rnacentral:rRNA from 1 species